rnacentral:rRNA from 1 species
UUUGACAUGCAGGUGAUCGCCGUUGAAAGACGGGUUUCCUCUUCGGAGGCACCUGCACAGGUGCUGCAUGGCUGUCGUCAGCUCGUGUCGUGAGAUGUUGGGUUAAGUCCCGCAACGAGCGCAACCCUUAUCCCUAGUUGCCAUCAGGUAAAGCUGGGAACUCUGGGGAGACUGCCGGUGAUAAACCGGAGAAGGCGGGGAUGACGUCAAGUCCUCAUGGCCCUUACAUCCCGGGCUACACACGUGCUACAAUGGCAGGUACAGAGGGCUGCGAAGCCGCGAGGUGGAGCGAAUCCCAGAAAACCUGUCUCAGUCCGGAUUGAAGUCUGCAACUCGACUUCAUGAAGGCGGAAUCGCUAGUAACCGCGAAUCAGCAGGUCGCGGUGAAUACGUUCCCGGGCCUU